rnacentral:rRNA from 1 species
AGAAUCAACGCUGGCGGCGUGCCUAACACAUGCAAGUCGCACGAGAAAGGGACUUCGGUCCUGAGUAAAGUGGCGCACGGGUGAGUAACACGUGAAUCAUCUACCUCCGAGUGGGGAAUAACCUAAGAGAAAUCUGGGCUAAUACCGCAUAACACUUACGAGUCAAAGCAGCAAUGCGCUUGGAGAGGAGUUCGCGGCAGAUUAGUUAGUUGGCGGGGUAAUGGCCCACCAAGACGAUGAUCUGUA